CAAGGCUACGAUGGGUAGGGGUUCUUAGUGGAAGGUCCCCCACACUGGCACUGAGAUACGAGCCAGACUCCUACGGGAGGCAGCAGUAGGSAAUAUUGGUCAAUGGGCGCAAGCCUGAACCAGCCAUGCCGCGUGCAGGRUGAAGGCUCUAUGAGUUGUAAACUGCUUUUGUACAGGAGCAAAAAAAUCCCUGCGGGGGUUCUUGAGAGUACUGUAAGAAUACGCACCGGCUAAUUCCGUGCCAGCAGCCGCGGUAAUACGGGAGGUGCAAGCGUUAUCCGGUUUUAUUGGGUUUAAAGGGUGCGUAGGCGGCUUAUUAAGUCAGUUGU
rnacentral:rRNA from 1 species